GACGAACGCUGGCGGCGUGCCUAAUACAUGCAAGUCGAACGAGAGCGACCGGUGCUUGCACUGGUCAAUCUAGUGGCGAACGGGUGAGUAACACGUGGGUAACCUGCCCAUCAGAGGGGGAUAACAUCCGGAAACGGAUGCUAAAACCGCAUAGGUCUUCGAACCGCAUGGUUUGAAGAGGAAAAGAGGCGCAAGCUUCUGCUGAUGGAUGGACCCGCGGUGCAUUAGCUAGUUGGUGAGGUAACGGCUCACCAAGGUCGUGAUGCAUAGCCGACCUGAGAGGGUGAUCGGCCACAUUGGGACUGAGACACGGCCCAAACUCCUACGGGAGGCAGCAGUAGGGAAUCUUCCGCAAUGGACGCAAGUCUGACGGAGCAACGCCGCGUGAGUGAAGAAGGUUUUCGGAUCGUAAAACUCUGUUGUUAGAGAAGAACAAGUGCUAGAGUAACUGUUAGCGCCUUGACGGUAUCUAACCAGAAAGCCACGGCUAACUACGUG
rnacentral:rRNA from 1 species